GUCCGAUUAGGUAGUUGGUGGGGUAAUGGCCUACCAAGGCGACGAUCGGUAGCUGGUCUGAGAGGAUGAUCAGCCACACUGGGACUGAGACACGGCCCAGACUCCUACGGGAGGCAGCAGUGGGGAAUUUUGGACAAUGGGCGCAAGCCUGAUCCAGCCAUGCCGCGUGAGUGAAGAAGGCCUUCGGGUUGUAAAGCUCUUUCGGCCGGAACGAAAUCGUCCGGGCUAAUACCCCGGAUGGAUGACGGUACCGGAAGAAGAAGCACCGGCUAACUACGUGCCAGCAGCCGCGGUAAUACGUAGGGUGCAGGCGUUAAUCGGAAUUACUGGGCGUAAAGCGUGCGCAGGCGGC
rnacentral:rRNA from 1 species